rnacentral:rRNA from 1 species
GAUGAACGCUGGCGGCGUGCUUAACACAUGCAAGUCGAACGGGAAUUAUUUUAUUGAAACUUCGGUCGAUUUAAUUUAAUUCUAGUGGCGGACGGGUGAGUAACGCGUGGGUAACCUGCCUUAUACAGGGGGAUAACAGUCAGAAAUGGCUGCUAAUACCGCAUAAGCGCACAGAGCUGCAUGGCUCAGUGUGAAAAACUCCGGUGGUAUAAGAUGGACCCGCGUUGGAUUAGCUGGUUGGUGGGGUAACGGCCCACCAAGGCGACGAUCCAUAGCCGGCCUGAGAGGGUGAACGGCCACAUUGGGACUGAGACACGGCCCAGACUCCUACGGGAGGCAGCAGUGGGGAAUAUUGCACAAUGGGGGAAAACCUGAUGCAGCGACGCCGCGUGAAGGAAGAAGUAUCUCGGUAUGUAAACUUCUAUCAGCAGGGAAGAUAGUGACGGUACCUGACUAAGAAGCCCCGGCUAACUACGUG